CUGUUAGUGUAAUUGGGAAAGUAUUUCGGGUUUAGUGUUCAUAUCGUCUUAGUAUUGGUGAGAUGGUGUAAUGUAGUAUGCUUGCGGUGACUCUGUGGGCAUUUUACCCGCGAUUCUGCACGUCUCCGUUUGAAGAGGGAGGCUGCCCACCGUGGCUCUUCCGCGAUUUAGAUGCAGCCCACCGACUCUGCUCCCCCACCACGGCGGGCUCCAGUCUGAGGUGAGUCAGCUAAAUAAACGUUUUAACAUCUUCUAAAGACAAUUCCCUACCUAAAUGCAAAGUCUGAGAGACGUGGUUCACUUCCUUUAGCUAGUCAGUCGGCAAUUCUGCAACAGUGGCUCUAACUGACGCAGCACUAGUUGACAGACAGCAUUACAGCGUGAAAUCCAGCUUGUGACCCGGUUCUGUAAGGAAUUCUGUUCAGGAGGUCGCAUUUCAGGCUCUCCACAUCAUGUGUGACUGACUUUUACGUUAUAACAACGAUCACACACUAGGAAUGUUAUAAAGCGCCUAUAUAGGAGAUUCUUUUGUAUGUUAUCUGACUUUAUAAACUCCCAACAACAAUGUGCUUCUAUUUUUUUUUUCAGGCUAAAUCUACCCAAGACACUGGCUGUCAGACUGAUUUAGCUGCAAGAAUGCACUUGUCCAGGCUGAUGUGAAGCCUUCCCUGUAGCAAAGCCAGCCAGAAUGGAGUUCACAGCCGCAGUGUGUCUGGUGACCCACAGGGACCAUGAUGAAAAUUCAUCUUCCAGAAAGUCCCAGAGCGUCCAGACCUCCUGAAAAGACCAAGAUGUAAGGUGUCUGCUGUUGAUUCCAGCUUCCACCUCAGUGACAGUGCAAGCUCAGUGAACUGUUCAAGCCUGGCUGAUCACCUGAUAACCCCUGUCAUCUGGUUAUGACAGCAUGAGGAUGUCCUCACACACCUGUAACCUAUCAGCUCAUCUGGCAGAAUAGAGAGAGAAGAGACAACACCACAUCUCCUGUUCCUGGAAAGCCUUCAGCCAUCCUUCGAUGACUGAGAACCUCCAUCAGCUCUGUCUCCUGUCUGCCUACAAUUAUUAUAAUAAAUAUUGUGUUUGACAAGUUUUUUGUGCUGCCAAAUAUCUCAUUUAGAUUCCAGUUUUGAUAUUUUAAUGGAUAUUUAUAAAUUACAUUGAUUAUCACAUUUUUGUUGCAUGUUUAACUAGCUAUUGUGAUUAAUUAAACUAGCACCUCACUGUUAAAAGCUCGUUUUAAUUUCAAGCAUGUUUAAGUAUUUAUGGACAUGAACAAAAACAGGAAAUAUAUAAAUUGACAUUUAUUUAAUUAAUAUAACAAAUAAGGGGGAAAGAGUCAUUGAAAGGCACAUUCUUCUGGAAGCUCCUGAUCCUGAAGACACCAGCAGAGACCAGCUGCAGACACCAGAGACCACCUGCAGACACCAGAGGACCUAGAACCGAGAGAGCAGCUGUUAUUAGUAAAUAAAUAAAGAAAUCAGGGCAGUUUUAGUGGGCUGAACACAUUACAGAAUAAUUUUCUCAUGGGGUAUUUUCAUAACUUUAUGCAGCAGACUGUAACUUGAGCCCAGAGCUACCGGAGAGCUGCUAUCCAGCAUGUUUCAGUGGAUUUUCCUGCUUUAACAGGUUAGAUUAGCUGUUAAGCAGCUCAGCUAUUUGUUGCUGAUUAAAACCAGGUGUGCUGAAGCAGAUAAACCUCUAAAACAUGCUGAAUACUAGCUUUUUAGGGCCGUGGAUACAAACCCUGCAGCUAAUCCAAUGCUAUGGCUAACGGCUACUUACCUUUCAGAGGUGAUUCUGUUGGGUCGGUUCUGGGAGUUUCAGGCAACUCACAAGCUCAAAACAAUAAGACUCAGGUCCGCUUGUCUCCUCCAAAUAGACUUGGUCCCUUUCUUCUCGAGUGUCUGU